AAGAGACUCAGUGAAUGAUGACCACAGAAAAUGCUGAGAGCGGAGCCCUGGAGACGAGCCCGGCCCUGCUGUAAGGGCAGGCUGAAUGGGAAGAGCGCAGCCCUGACCAUGGUACGUGCGGGUGAGGGUACUCCAGCCUCAGGACAGACCUAAGCUCAGAUCCCAGCAAUGCUCCCUUGCUUAUGGCCGCUGGGUGAAGGACUGAUUAUCUCAGGGCUCCCUGGAGCAAGGUUGGCAGGGCCUGGGCAUGAAGUAGAUGCUCAGAAAAUACCUAGUACUUCCUCCAAGGGGCAAAGCGAAUCCUUUCCUGUCUUUCAUGGAGGGACCUCAAUCCUGCAUCUCUCUGCACUGUCCAAAGUGGGAAAGGGUUCCUGUUGGCAGCAGGGGAUCUAGUCUGGGAAGGUCACGGGAUCUCUGACAGUGUUUGCAAGGAUGACACCUUACCCACCCCAGGACCUUUCUUAUUUAGGUAGGAUUGGGUCAGACACACAAAACCUGUUUGCUUUGGGCUUGUGGUGUUGGGGAUGGAGCCCAGGGCCUGGAGUGUGCAUAAGUGUACUGCCACUGAGCUAUACCACCAGACCCACCUUGCUCACCUCAGAAAUAUAAAUGGCAACCUUACAGGAAGCUGUCCUCUUCGUCUUUGGGCCAAGUCUUGGGGUACUGCUCUUUGAGGUGCCAGGCCUUCUCUGAGGCACUUGACCUAAACUCAGCUUACAAGACUAUCUUGGACCUUGUCUAGAGCAGAAGGGAUGAAUUUGCUCCCUUAAAAGAGGAAACAGAAACAAGACUAUCACCCAGCCCUGAUAAGGUAGCUGGCAUCUCUGCCCUAUGCUAUACCCUAGACUCUCAUCCUAUGCCAGCAUUGGUAUCUUCCUUGAAAAUCCCCUGCUUCAGCCAGCCCCUGUAGGCUCCCCUUGUCCGUGAUCCAGUGCCCUGUCUGGAGAGCCAUUCUCCACAGUGGGAGCCCUCUGUCCCCUGCGUACAUUGUGCUAUGACAGGGACGCAGAAUAGGCCUCACACAGCAGGUGGCCUUUUGUCUUCAAUGUCUGUCCUCUAGAGGACAGUACUGUGGCAUCCAGGAAGGAUGGCCUUCGGUUGGGAGGCCCAUGCUGUCAGCAGGACGUCAUUCUUACCUGACAGAUACUCAUGUUCGGGCAGAGCAUGCUCAAUAGCUGGCACGAACCAGCCACAGAGCAGUAUUAGCAGGCUGGGCUGGUGGGUGGCCUGUGAGAGCAGGAAGCAUGACCUCCUCGCUCCGGGACCGUGUUUCUUGUCCUGCAGUUUUGCAUGUGGCUCUUGGCCAAGGACUGCUGGACUCAUUGUCCCUCCAGCACAGCAUCCAUAGUAACGUUGUUAGGAGAGAUGGUUGUGGGGGUUCUGAGAAACUGCUGUGCAAUCCAGCCUGUGACUCUGAUAGUAGUCAGAGGCAUCUAUCGUCACAGCCCAUUGGUCUCAGCACUCUGAGAGGUGGCAUGUGCCCAUUUUCUGGACCAGUAAGUUGAAGCAGAGGGAUGUUGCUAGCAGAUACAGAAGGGUAUCUGCUUGGUACCUCUCAUUCAAGGACAGCUCAGGCAUUUCUCCUGGUUCAUUACAGGGAGACAUAGACCAGAUUCCUCCAGAGCCAGCUCCAUGUGAUUGCCCUGGGAGUGCAUCUCCAUGCUGACAUGAUCUCAGCUGCUUACACUCGUGAGAACUCCAUCCGUAUCCUAGGUCAUGUCAGGUCCCUUGAGGACAAUUGGGAUUGCCACAUGAUGCUGGCAACACAUUAACAACUCCCUAAUUCCUGGCUGUAGAUGUCCCUGCCUAUGUCACAUAGAUUAGCACCUCCAGCUUCCUCACCAUGCUCCAGUGGCUGGAAGGGGCUGACUCUAUUGCAUGAUCCCACACUGUUGAGCUAAUGCAGAGCCUGUAAGACUGAAGAGUCUGUAUAAUCGGAGUAGACUUAGAAUACCUGUAUUCACCAGCUCAGACUCCCAUAUCUCUCAAGAUAGGAGCCCCAGACUCAUAGUGGCUUCCUGUGGCCUCCAGGCUUGGGAUUUUGCCAUGCUGGGUGCGCACUGAACCAUGGACUGGGAAACUGCUUGAGGAUAGAGGCAGGGCUCCUAUCAGUGUGUUGAGCUGGCCCAGACAGUGUUGCUGAGUGGAACAAGUGUGACAAGAUCCAGAAGAGAACAAAGACAUACCGAAGACCCUUUCAAGGUCGCCGGCUGGCAGGGAACGAGCACUGUCGUGUUGUUUGAUCAUUUAUUUAUACUCUAUUUUUGAGCAGAACUCGAGGCACCCAAGAUGAAAGGCAGAGCAACACCAGAAACAAAAGCUCAUGUCUUGAGCUCUCCCGCUUCUCGCCCAGCGCUUCCUCGAGUCCUGAAAGCCUGCUCCGAUCUGUCUUCUGAGUCAAGGCACUGCAGUCUUCCUGUGGUGACAUCCCCUCCAUGCAGCUGUGCCUCCCAACCCGGUCUCUGUGGCCAGGACAUUCCCCCAAGUCUACACUUCUGAAUGACUUCUGUCCUUCUUACCAUGGUAGCUGGGGUCCUGGCUAUGUUUGGAUCAUGAGGUAUGAUGUAACUCCAGACCUACGUCAGCUGAGCUUAGGGAGUCAGAACUAGACCAUCCAGUGGCUCUGAGUCCUCGAUAUGCUCUGGUCACUCCCCAACCCACCAGGGAACACCACCCUGAAUCUCAGAGCAUCUUUUGUAUCGGAUCUCAGGGCACAAGGCUACAGUCUGGUCUGUGCUGCUGUGUUGAGAAUUGUGCAGCCUGGUUGCCUGUGGCACAGGUGGGCAUGGCACAGGUCUCUUGCCUGUCAUCAUGUUUUGGGGUCAGGAGAAACAUACUGACUGGCUAAAGAAGGAGGUGUGAUGAGACUGGAAGGAGACAGGACCAGGCCCCAUCACUAGCCAUGUUCCUAAGGGUCUCAUUGCUGGGCACUGAGAUGGUAGCAAUACUGGGGCUGGAUCCUUCUCAUCUUGAGAGCUGCUCACUUUCUGUCUGCUCCCAGAGACCAAGCCAGAAUGCAGCAUGCAGCUCUCAAACCUGUCACAUCUGCCAACUGUGAGACAGUGGGCAGGGCGCUGGCAUGGGAAGCCCCCUUUGACCUUAUUCAUGCAAGUACUAUGUGCUAACUGAUUUCUCCCCCAAAGCUCCCUUUCUUAAAGACAAGACACAGAAGUCAUCCAGCACCUGUGAUGGUGAAGUUUAUUGUCAAUCUGACAUAGCCCACAACCACCUGGAAUUAAUGAGGGAUUGUCCACACUGGGUAGGCCUGUGAGCAAGCCUGUGGAAGAUUGUCUUUAAUUGAUGUAGGGAGAUGCGGUCCACUGCGGGUAGUUCCAUUCCCUAGGCUCGCACCCCGGACUGUAUAAGAGUAGAGACAUCAAGCUGAGCACAAGCAAGUGAGCACGUGUGCAUCCAUUUCUCUCUGUUUUGACUGCCGAUGUGAAGUGACCAAAGUCAUUGCCUUGACUUCCUGUUAUGGUCGACUGAAACCUGGAAUUGAGAGCUUAAAGCAAAUCCUUUCCCUUCUCAGUCGCUUUUUAUCCGAGUAUAUUAUAACAGCGACAGGAAUUAGAAUGAGAACAUGCCUGUUACAUGCCAGAGAAUCUCCUUCCUGCUUUGCAGUUACAUUUCUCUAAUUCGCCUCACAUUU
rnacentral:lncRNA from 1 species